rnacentral:lncRNA from 1 species
GUGUGUGUGUGUUUGGUUUAGAGGAGAGACUGGAACUGCUCAGUGUUUCACAAAGAUAACUGUUUGUAUUUGAUAAGAGUUUGAUUAAACAAAAGAAUCUAGAUAAUCAAAACAUAAAACGUUGACAAUACGUGAGCACAUACUUUUGUGACCAGAAAUGCAUGUGACUGUUGAGAUAAGGUACACCGGGUAAUUGGAUGAGUCAACUCUCUUCUUGGGCACCCUUAUAUAAUUAAUGGAGAGAGAGAGAGAGAGAGAGAGAGAGAGAGAGAGAGAGAGAGAGAGAGAGAGAGAGACUUUCUGAUCUCCUAGUUUGGGUCAUCUCCUUUCCCCUCCAUCAUCACUGGCUCUCAAACAAUCCUGGAGCUAGCAGGAUGGGGAAAUAACGGUUUAAUAAUCGCUUCCCGUGGGAGGUGUUUGACAGCUCAUAAAGCAGUUUCCAGACGCCGGUCUUGGGGCUUCGUGGACGGCUUGCCCUUAGCCACACUCAGAGAAAGAAAAACACGGGUCCACUUUUCCUUUCAGCUGCGGAGGCCCAUCCUUUCCCACCUGCAGAGAUUUCUUAAAGCACCUCCACUACCGUCGUGCCUCAGCCCUGUGCCUUCUGGUGGCCCUGACGCAGGCCUGACCAGAGGCCACAGCUUCAGAAAAGCACCAAGCCCAGAGCCCAGGCCCUGCAGACCCAGGUUUGAAGGCGACGCCCGCGUCUCGGUCGCCCCUAUAAGCAGCAGCUAGGCCAAGGGUCCGGGAACUCCGGGUGACACCGAUUUUCCAACAGGAACCAGAACCUAGAAGGUGGGGAACCAUCCGGCGGACUGGUGGCCCCGAGGUCGCCGGACUCAGGGGGGAGACCCCCAGGCGUUCUGGACCAGGCACCCGGAGUCAGGCUUCCCGGUCCCGCCUCC